AUUGAACGCUGGCGGCAUGCCUUACACAUGCAAGUCGAACGGUAACAGGUUAAGCUGACGAGUGGCGAACGGGUGAGUAAUGUAUCGGAACGUGCCCAGUCGUGGGGGAUAACUGCUCGAAAGAGCAGCUAAUACCGCAUACGACCUGAGGGUGAAAGCGGGGGAUCGCAAGACCUCGCGCGAUUGGAGCGGCCGAUAUCAGAUUAGGUAGUUGGUGAGGUAAAGGCUCACCAAGCCGACGAUCUGUAGCUGGUCUGAGAGGACGACCAGCCACACUGGGACUGAGACACGGCCCAGACUCCUACGGGAGGCAGCAGUGGGGAAUUUUGGACAAUGGGCGCAAGCCUGAUCCAGCCAUGCCGCGUGCGGGAAGAAGGCCUUCGGGUUGUAAACCGCUUUUGUCAGGGAAGAAAAGGUUCUGGCUAAUACCUGGGACUCAUGACGGUACCUGAAGAAUGAGCACCGGCUAACUACGUG
rnacentral:rRNA from 1 species